GACGUAACAAAGCGACCCAGGAAUGCUUGGGCGUGCCUCCACUCACGCCGGCGUCGGCGGGCGUAUUUCGCCUCACAGUAGGUCGCCGCGACCCGUUGCUUUUGGGGACGUCGAAGGCCCGGACGGAUUGGUACCCUACCGGCUGGGGAUGCGGCUUCGGCUUCUCCUCUUGUCCGGUGGGCGAAACCGCCGGUGUCCUGGCUGCCCUGCGACGGUCGUAGAGACGAGCCCUCCCCUUCGGGGGAGCGGCUCUCGCGGCGUGCAAAAGGUCGGUGAUCCACCCGACCCGUCUUGAAACACGGACCAAGGAGUCUAACAUGUGUGCGAGUCAGUGGGCGCACUAAACCCAGAGGCGUAAUGAAAGUGACACGGGUUCGGCUGUCGCCUCGUGUGGCAGCCGGACUCAGGGCCGAUCCCUCACCGGUUGCCCUCGCCUCUCUCCCGCGUCUCGGUAAGCCGGGUGAGCUAUUUUCCCCGGCCGCUGCUGCGGGGCUCGGGGGGAGGCGGGGUGCGAUGGUGUCCGWAAAAAAGAGCCUGCUGUUGCAGGGGGGCGCAGGCCCGGGACUUGCCAGGACGCCGCGAGACUGUCACUUUGCUGUGAGGCUCUCGGGCCGAUCAGCGGGUCAUGCGUGCAGUCGGCAAGUACCAUGAGCAGACAUGUUGGGACCCGAAAGAUGGUGAACUAUGCCUGGCCAGGAUGAAGCCAGAGGAAACUCUGGUGGAGGUCCGUAGCGAUUCUGACGUGCAAAUCGA
rnacentral:rRNA from 1 species